rnacentral:lncRNA from 1 species
AGUAGCCUGGCUAUUCUAUGACCUCACGACCCUGAUUUAUUCCUUAACAACUACCAAGUUAUUGAGUUGCUGGGAAGAGUCUAGAAGGGGGUUGGGGCUCCCCUAUUUGCAAACUCUCAGGGGUCACAGGGGCUUGCUAGCCCAACCCAGGUGGAGGUGUGGGCUUCAUUCUUGGUAGCAAUUAUAUAUUGAAGGGAGAAAGACAAAGAAAAAAAGUUGCUAUCAAAUCAGAUCCAUGAGCUUGAUGGGUGGGGUUUGAUGAAGAUAUUCAAUUUAAGACUCAGUGCUCCAUAAUUUUUCACCCUUUGCAUAUUGUCCAGUUGUGGGUGUCUGGGCCAGUUACCAUCAACUGCAAGAGGAAACGUCUAUGACUCCGUGAGAGGCCAUGGAAGGCCAUUGGUGAAAGUGCAGCCUCAGGUGCAUUUGACGGCCCAGGACUGAAGGGGUCAUGCAGUGUUUUGGAGAUGCCAGUACCAUGAGAUGACCACCAAGAGUAGCAGCAGCAGUGGAGGACAGGCAUCUGGAGCCUAGAGGAUGACAAAUGUGCUACAAAGAGCAUGGCUGGAGAAAUGACCCAAGCCCUUGGAGGAGCCCAGAAGAUCGUGGGUUGGAUCCUAGACAUUGGACAGUUGGAGUUUAAUCUUUGCUUCUGAUUGUGACUGUGCCCUGAUAUUUUUCCCUCUUGAAGGAAGAAAAUAUUUUAGUGGACCCCACAGUUAAGAGACUUUUAAUUAUAAAAAGACUUUGGAUUUUAAAAGACAUUUUAUAUUUUUAAAGGAUUGAACUUUUAAUAUGUAAAGACUGUGGGACUUUUAAUGUUAUUUAAGAUCUUGGGGAUGAAUAAGAAUGUAAGGGUUGAGGCUUACUAGUGAUUUGUUUGUGUGUCAGGUUGACAAGGGGUCAAUUGUACUGGCUAGUUUUGUAUCAACUUGACACAGCUGGAGUUAUCACAGAGAAAGGAGCUUCAGUUGAGGAAAUGCCCCCAUGAGAUCCAACUGUAAGGCAUUUUCUCAAUUAGUGAUCAAGGGGGAAAGGCCCCUUGUGGGUGGAACCAUCUCUGGGCUGGUAGUCUUGGUUCUAUAAGAGAGCAGGCUGAGCAAGCCAGGGGAAGCAAGCCAGUAAAGAACAUCCCUCCAGGACCUCUGCAUCAGCUCCUACUCCCUGACCUGCUUGAGUUCCAGUCCUGACUUCCUUGGUGAUGAACAGCGUAUGGAAGUGUAAGCCAAAUAAACCCUUUCCUCCCCCCCCCAAAAAAAAAAAUAAUGCCAAGAGUGGGUAAUUUAUGAAGAAAAUGGGUUGAUUUAAGCCAAUCAUUCUGGAAGCUAUGAAGUUCAAGACUGGGCAGUUACUUCUGGCCAAGACCUGAUGUUGCUAUACAACAUAGCAUAAGUUAGAGAGAGAAAUUCAGUCUGUGCAGAAGAGGCAAAACCCAAAGGCACUCGAUCUUCCUUUAUAACAAUCUGAGCGUCUGGUAACUGACCCUAUAGGAACUGACCCAGUCUUGUGACAAAGGCAUUCAUUCUUCUUAUGGACCCACCUGUCACCUUCACCAUGUUGGUGAUCACAUUUCAACUGGGGCACAUGCAGUGUUCUCUACAGCAUCUUCUAAAGUGUUGCUUUGGGGGAGGCGAUUCCCAGCAUGUUCUAGGUCUUGUAUUACAAUGACCAUGACUGUGUAAAGGGAGGCAUCUGGGUUUUAAAUGCUGAGGAUGUUUCCUAAGUGGAGAAACCAGCGGUUCUGUGCUAAUUGGCUGAUCCAUGGUACCAUAUACUUCAAUCAAAUUUCACUAAACCCUGACCCUAGUGAGACUUUCUUGUUGUUGUUUCUCCUUCUCACCAGUACCCAGGGAAGGCAAAGAAGGCAAGUUUAUGCCGGAGUUUAUAAUCAGGAUGUGCUCCAGCAACGUUAAAGUAGGUACAGGGUCAAUAUGGAUGUGCAAGUAUCAUGACAAAAUACAGGAGAAACUCCACUUUUAAAACUAACCAACAAAGAUAAAACAAACAAACAACAAACAAGCAAAAAGUCUGGGACUUCUCAGAAUAACUUGGAAGAAAUUUUUUGGCUUACAAAUUAUUUCUUCUGGACAACUCAAGCACAGAGAGACAAUAAAAAUUUAGGAAAAACUAUUAGAAAACAUAAAAUCAUCAAUAACCUAUUAAAAGUGAACUAAAGGGCCAAGAAAUUAUUAAACAAAUCUAAAGCAAAAAAAAA